GCAGGCCCUGCAGGCUGCGCCCACGCUCACCCGUUCCUCUUCUGCGCGGACGUCCGGCAUGGUGCUCAGGCACAGGCCGACGGCUGUGACGGCCACGAAGGCCACGGAGACGUAGGCGAAGAGCCUGCCCGCCAGCCCGGAGUGCGGGUUCUCCACCACGUCGCGCAGGCGCUGUCGGCCUCGCUCCAGCCGCCCGCUGCCCAGGGCUCGGCCGGGGCUGGUCGGCGGCCCUCGGGCGGGCUGCGCGGCGCUGGCCUCGGCGGCCUCCUCCUCGCGGCGGCGCAGGCGGCGCAGGCAGCAGCGCUCCAGCCGCGCCUCGUCGAUGCCCCAGUAGGCCAGCUCGUCGCGGAAGGCCAGGGCGCACGGGCCGCGCAGCAGCCUUAGCUUGCCGGCGCGCAGCAGCGCCACGAUGGCGCGGAAAGCGCACGGGCUGCGGUCGAAGAAGAACUCGUCGCGGCUCACGUCGUAGUCGUCACACACGCGCAGCAGCUCGUCGUGGCCGCGGCAGGCUCGCAGGCGCUCGAGGCGCGCCAGGGGACAGCGGGCCAGCGCGGCCCAGGCCAGACGCACCCUGCAGCCCCCGACGUUGAUAAUGACGUGGCGCGCCCGGGCCCCGCGGCCGCCACGGCCCCGUCGGCCUGCGCUGCCAGGCUCCGCGUCGGGGGCCUCCGGGUGCCCCAGGAGCCGGGCCAUGGCCCCAUAUGCUAGCCGCGAUCAGGAGACUGGGCCUGCAAAAGGAAUCGCAGUGUUAGGACUGCGGCCUGCCGUCGGAUAAGGCCGCCUAACCAAAGAUCUGGAUUCUGGGGGCCAGGAACUUCCUAUCCCAGCUGCACCUCUAACUCUGGCACACUUGAAGGCUCCGCCGUGUCCAUAUUUGGGAUCCCCCCCCCCCAGCCCACAACUUUCCAGAGGACCCUGGAAGAUGAGAGGGGUCCGGGACUCCGGUGCUCGCGGAGGAAACUGCCUGCAUCUCACAGAUAUUUGCACCGCACCAGGCCUUUUUAUGCUUCAUGCAUCUUUGACAUCUCCAUGAUGGCCGAGGUCUGCUCUGCUCAGAACAAAGCUCCCAGGUAAUUUUGCUGCACAGCUGGAGUUGAGAAUCACCAAUCAAGGAAGAUGGAAACCCACAGUGCCCGAUUUUUCAGCCAGCCUUGGUUUCUAAGUCAGAGGAACUGUUUGGUACCCAUAGAAAUUAUUCAGAUGCUCUGGGAGCUUUCUAGGUUUCUAUGCCAACUGUUUGGCAUACACAUUUUUUUUCUCCACUGGGCUCACUUGUCCUAGAGUAUUCUCUAUAAAAAAAAAUGGGGGGGGGGCCUAUUACUGACAUUAAAGACUUUGACUGCAAGGAGACUUCUGCUGUUUUUCCAGAGGACUCCCCUCUCCCUCCAAUCUACUGUUUGCAGUGCUCCUUUGCUUCCUGGAACGGAAGAGGUUCAGCAGAGGCACUCAGAGCUAUGUGCAGGGAAGUCACCCCCUAUCUACCCUGAUCCCAGCUCAGAGAAGCCACCCCACAUCUACCUCCGUUCGAUGCUCAGGGGGUCUCAUCUUGUCCAUGUCCUGCACCUAGUUCAGAGAUCUCACUCUGUCCACCCCAUGCUUCCAACCCAAUGGUGUCCUUGAAAAACACCGCCUGCACUACCGACACCAGCACUUUCACCGGAAGAACACACCGCACCAGGGCUCGCCCUUCCCUAAAGCUCCCGCCAACCUCCAAGAAGACGGACCCAAAGGCUUUGCUGUUAUCUCCCAUACCAGGAACCUGCUUGGAGCCAAGGCAGCCAGCUUAAGACUGUCUGUCAAAGCAUUCAUUGGAGGAUGUAGCUGUUGUUGCCUGAGGCAAUGGAUGGCAGUUGGCUGGAGAAGCGCUUCAGAGGGCAGGAGGUGCUUGGGGGGGGGGGUAAGGAACUGGAACAUGCUUUGGGAUUGGGGGGUGCAGGCUGGGCUGUGUGUUAAUUCAGUAAAUAUCCAAGAAGCCUCCAAGGCUGUCCCCAGCUGACCUUCAGGUCUAAAGGCAGGUGAGCAGAAGCGCUAUCUAGGCUGCCUGGCUGAGGGCUGGCAAGGCCCCAGCUCACACAGCUCAUCUGCAAAGACUGGGUUUGCUUUUCUUUCUGUGACUCUAAUGGAGCAGAGCCAUUAUGGCCACAUAAGGAUGGGCACACAGCCUUUACAAAGUUUACAAAAUUGAUCCUUUAAACCGUGAGUUGUGCCUAUGAGCUGUGCAAACAAACACCAGUAAGUACGACCAUUCACUGGUUGGGGGGGGGCACUCUGAUUUCCAUAACUGUUGCUUAUGCUGUUUAAAAUGUCCGGUUUCAACAACAAGAAUUACGAAGAAUAUGAAGUAUGAGAAAGAAUAGCCUACACGCGGGAAAAGAACAACGAAAACGAACUGUCCCUAAGGGAGCCUGUACAUCAGCUUCACCAGAAAAAGACUAAAUAAACUAAAUGGAAUACGUUCAAGGAAUAUCCUGAGGUAAUGAUGCAUAGCUGUAACCCCAGCACUUGGGAAACUGAGGCAAAGAGGAUAGUCAUGAGUUUGAGGCUAGCCCGGGCUACAGAGUAAGUUCCAGGUUGCAAUGAGAGAUCCUGUCUCAAACACAAAAAACGAACAAACAAAAAAGCUAAAGGAAGCCAGCCAUUUCCGAAGGCUGACCUAAACGAUUAUGAGAAUGUCUCUGUAAGAAGUAUCGAUGAGACAGAAGUCAUAAAAAGGAAGCAAGAGGAUACUGGAGUUGAACAGUGUGGGUCACAAGAUGAACAUUUGCACGACUGAGAAGGCCUCAGAGGCACGGGAUGAAAGCAAGCCUCACGAAAGGGCCCCCUUUAGGCAUAGACAGGAAUCCCAAAAUCUGAGAGUCAGCUCUCUUAUAGGAUGCGGCCCUUGAGAGAUUACUCAUGAUCCAUGAUGGCCACCUCGUGUACAUGCAGGCAGUACUAAGUGGCAUGCUGGGACACGUAAAAAAAGCCAAGAGAAGAACACACGGAACUGAGGAGGAAAUAGCGGUGGUGAGGAGAGAGGAGACAUCGGGGGCCAGAUAAUGGGAGGCAGACUUGAUGAAGACAUAUUAUGUGUGUGUAUGAAAUUCCCAAACAAUAAAAAUAUCCCCAUGUUUGAUGGAA